CUAGCUUCUAGCUAUUUCGCCUGCUUAUUAUUAUGGCGGAAAUGAACGUGUUAUUUUCAAAUCGAUUGAUAGAUAGCCUGAUCUAUAUCAGGGCAGUCAAU